ACAUCCCUCUAGAGGAGCCUGUUCUGUAAUCGAUAAACCCCGAUAAACCUCACCAACCCUUGCUAAUGCAGCCUAUAUACCGCCAUCUUCAGCAAACCCUUAAAAGGAACCACAGUGAGCAAAACCAUGAAACAUAAAAACGUUAGGUCAAGGUGUAGCCCAUGGGUUGGAAAGAAAUGGGCUACAUUUUCUAAUAUAGAAUAUACACGGAAAUUUUCGCGAAACCGAAAAUAGAAGGAGGAUUUAGUAGUAAAUUAAGAAUAGAGAGCUUAAUUGAAUAAGGCCAUGAAGCAC
rnacentral:rRNA from 1 species